AAAUAUGUACUGAGUAUGUAAAGUUGUAGAUAAUCACAUAUGAUAUAGGAGAUCAAUAGAAAUCAGAAACAAAUGAAUAAAUCGUAAUAGGAGUGGACCACACUUACUAGAACUUGUGACAACCUGUACAUUGUAUUUAUUCAAUCACUUUACCUUCGUUCUUAUCAUCUUUGUAAUCAUUACUGUACUGUACUGUGACCAUUAGGCUGCCUCCAGUACAUAUUAACUGGGAUCGACCCAUGAUAGGCUUAUGCCCUUGGUAUACCACCCAUAAACACAUAAAUAGGGAUCGACCCAUGAU
rnacentral:lncRNA from 1 species